CGAGCCUCUCUCCGAGACAGUGCCC
rnacentral:snRNA from 1 species